GCCAAUAUUGAGGGUCACAAGUUGACAUAUUUCUUGUAGUAUAUGCCUGAGCGAGUUAUGUAUAAAGACACCAUCUAAGUAUCUCCUUGCGUUGGUAUGCCUGAACCAUAAUGUUAUCAGGAUGGAUAAAUAUGUCAUCUAAGUAUAAUGGUUUUAAUGCUUGUUUUGCUUCGGCUACUUGCGCCACUUGCUCACGCAUUCUCUGUUGUUAUUCCACAUCUAUCACCCAAGGACAUAUUUUGACCUUCUAUCUUUGUUCAACUACAAUAUCUCAAAUGGAAAGAGACAAACUUAUUUUCAGUGGUAACUAAUUGAAUCCGACCAUGAGUGAGCCAAGAGAUUGUUGUGUGGCAGCAUCCGCCCGGUGCGUAAGGUCCCCCACUGUUUUUAACGUGCUCACUUAUUGGUGCUUAUUCAUGUUUUGUUACAGAUAAGGUUAGAAAAGAAUAAAAGAAAAUCUAUGGUCAGCCUAGGUUGUGUUAAUAUAUAUGUUUUCCCUACCAUGCCCAGCAGCCACAAGUACUUUAGCUAAUGCCAAGUCUGUUCAAAUUAGCCUAUUGACCACCAGAAACCACUUUGUUUUCAGUGUAUGUUGGUCAUUUCAGUGCAGUUGUUUGAUGGAGUGCUAUUUAGUUUUUUUCCUCAACCAAGUCGAUGGUUAUUUCUACUACUGCAAAUUUGGUUUUGGUUCUAACCGUGGGCAUGGCAUGCUGGCCUUCCCAGGAGAUGCAGUUCUGAAAUUUCUCACAGUUAUAUCAAUCUAUUAUUGCAAGGACUGGUGAUAUGCAGUGAGUUGACAAAUUGGAUGUAAUCAAAUAGUCUCUGUAUCUUAAAAAGCCAUCCAUUUAUCACAUGUAAUGUUUUGUUUCCUUUUUACGAGCCAGAGUUCUCUCCUACAUCCUGAGCAUCAAAGUACUUUUAGAUAUUAUCCCGGGCACUGGUGACCCUAUCUUCUUUAAUAUAUGGAUCACAAUUUAUCUUUAAAAUCAGUUACUUCUUAUUCCUAUCAUUGAUUGAGUAAAAUCUGAAAAACCUGGGUUUUCCUUUUUCUCUGGCCAAUGUUAUAUAGGAGUAUUUAUUUUGUACCUACUGUCCUUCAUACCUGUGUUUUGGCCCCUCCGAUGUCGGUGCGUGGACUAUGACCUCUGCCUUUUGACAUUUUCUUUUCCUCUGCUGCUAGGUAUUCGUUCUUGUGUUCCUAAUUUUUGUUUAUACAUGUUCCUUUUUUGUACCUGUACAUCCAUCACUUGCCAGAGUAAAACAAAUGAUACACUCUUGAAGACCUGUAGCUAAGGCAUAAGUUGCACUGAAAACGUAUGAAUGAUUUUGACACCCUGAAGUGAUGUGUUUACUACCCACAAAAAAAUGUGUUUACUUCUACACAUGAAGUAAUAGUUUAAUGAAUGUGAAUGUGUGAUUGUGUGAUGUAGACUUCAGUCAAUAUGGCUUCUCCAAUCUACAUUGUUAUUAUGGAAACAUUUUGACACAAAAAUGCAGACAAGUAGUGAAUAUCUUAGGCUCAAUUGAUAAUUUCCCGUCAAAAAAAAUCGCAUAAUGCUCCUUGCUCUGAAACAUUUAGAUUGGUGGCCUAUACCACCCCCUGGCCGGUAUGGUUGCCAGCGUGAGGGCCUUGCUUGAUUUGAGCAGCUAACUUGAGGAAAAGAAACAGAGAGGGAGAGAGAGAUCAGGAGGGGAACUGGGAAUUCUAUUCAUCACAUCAACGAUGCUCCGUUUAGUUAUAGCUCCUGAUUUAAGUACCUAGGACACCAGACAGGCACACAGGCCAACUCACACACAACACCCCGGCGGCUGGUGCAUCCAGAUAACUGCACGCACACACAUCGCCACCUGACUCCUAUUUCUUCAGUGCAGCACCGUGACAUGACCAUACUCUAUGUGGAUAUAGUGACAGAUUACACUCUCUGCAGUAGUGGAUUUAAUAAACAAGAUGUCUUAGGUUUGAAAGCAACAUGCAGAUAAGGAGAUAACUUUGGAUAUGUUAUUAUCUUUACUCUUGUACGUACUUCCCCCGUCCGAAAAAAACUUGUCCCUCAAAUGGAUGUAUAACUUGAUGUUAGAUACAUCCAUUUGAAGGACAAGCUUUUUCGGACUAAAGGAGUAUAUAAUUUCUUACUGUACGAUGGAGCUGCAUCUCUUGAUGGUCACCGAGGAAAAAGAUGACCAAGCUCAGCAGUGCAAGACAAUUUCAGUGCUUUCACACUAGGAGAAUUGCCUAAGAAAUAUAUAACAUCAAUCCAUGUAUUUAGUUGUUCAUGCAGCAGCCUGCCAACUUUCAUUUGCUUUCUAACAUUAUAAUGAGGUCAUGUAGGUUACACACAUGUACCAAUAAAUGUUUUACUAUGUAUGACCAUCAGGUGAAGUAAUAUUUCCUGUUAUCUGUUCAUUUUGGCUAUAUCAUCUCACUUCCUUUUGGCACAUCAUGCACAAUGUCAAUUUCGUAUUAAUGCUUUGCAUCUAUGACAUGCGAUGUCCACCUAUGCAUGUCUUAAAUCCUGACAAACUCAAAGAAAUUGCCUAAACAAAAAAUUCAAUGAACAUAGUGGAUCACUUGGCACUGAAUGAUCAUGGUCUCAUGGAUUGAUGGUAACUCUGGGUCGUCUCAGGUACCUGCGCCAGUUGCAUAAUGGAAUAUUAUUAGGCUCAUAAAGCCCGGCUAGAUUGAGGUCUAUAGAAACCAAACACACCUACCAUGAAGAGCUUCUUAGAUGAUAAAAUCAUGCUCGAUAUUGCUGGGACAUGAAGCAAUGGUUCUACCUAAUAUCACCGCCCUCAUGUCUUAGUCUUUUCUGUUGGCAGCAGAUACACGACUCAGCCAGAGGUUUAGAGACCAGCGCUUCUCUCUGCUAACUUUCUUUUGAGCUAUCAUGCUACAAUGUAAUGAAGUAUAUAAUGCUAUGUGUACCUAAUUUUCUGUUAAAUUGGCUCUAAAUAACUCUCACUUGCAAUGUUUGCUAUCGCUUUUUGCGCCAUGGGCGCAACGGCCCCUAAAUCGCUAUGAACAGUGAUGUGCCACCGCCUGUAAAUUCUGCACCCCGCCGAGGGCAUUUUAGUCUUUUCAUGUGCAGGGGUAUAAAUCACAACCGCUGCCGUGGGAGAAACCCUCACAGCCGCUGCUAACUUUCUUUUGAGCUAUCAUGCAGAUUGAAGGUGAGCUCAUCCUAUUUUGUUUCUUCAAUCUUAGCCGAAGAUUUAUCUCCGAUUUCCUUGCAUUUGUCAUGUUGGUUCUUUGUGUAGAUGUGCCAGCUAGCUUAGAAUCUGUAUCAUCAUCUUUGUCUUUGAGUAGAACUGAACUGGAUUUGCUUUUUGCAUCUUAACUGUGUGUCCUUUGAUGUGCUUUACUCUAUAGAGUUAUUACCCCGAACUGAUGAAAGGACUUCUAGAGAAAAUUAUUGAUUGCUAGGGCCUCGAUUUACUAACUAUUCUAUAUUUUUAAAAACUGAAGCCAAAUCAUUCCUCUUUGCGAUGAACCGGAUCAUAUGUGUGGCGUCGAAAAAGACCGUAGUCUGAUCAUACAAGACCUUAUUGAUUGUUUAUCCUACUUGCAUGGUCUGAUCUCUCCGAGGUGCAACCAAGAUCAGGAGAGAACAAUGUUUCGGUUGUUUCGACUACUUCCUUUUCAGUGCUUAUUAUUUUGCAUUGCAUGAUCUGCAGUUUAAGGUAUACAAAGUCAUCCAUGGUCUAGGUGAGGUGCUUCAUACUGUGAAGCAUAAUUGAGGUGCUUCUUUAUUGGUUAGCUCAUGCCUCCAUUUUGGUGCUUGGAUUGUGAUCCUUUGUUCUAUGCAGAAAUCCCGAGGUAAGCAUUGGUUUCAGGCUCAGGCUACCUGGUUGUAGGGCUGGUGUUGCUUGUUUGAUUUGUUGACAUGCUUAUUCGCUUGUUAUCCAGUUGCAACUUGGCUUUGAAAGUUGCGGUCUAUUUCCUUUUAAGGUGUUGCGAGGGUUGGCUACUGUAGGGAGUCUUCCAAUGUUGCAUGUCUAUUGUUUGCACUGUUUUUUUUUGUUUCUUCAGGCAUAUGCCACUACAGAUUGAUUUGAUGAUUAAAGCAUGUAUCAGUGAUGUAGUCCUAUUGUGAAGAUGCUUAUUGUUUCGUUUCUGUAAUGUAGGAACAUGUAUAUCCCUUCAAGUUCACUGAUGUGGUUACCACUACAACACACGUCCCUCCAAGGACCAAGGGUGGGCAUGAUCUUCUACAAGGCAAAACCAUUGGCUGUUUGGAUGAUGCACAUGAGUAUGUUUUUGUUAGUUUUCGGUGAUGUACGCCGUGAAGCGGGACGGGCGGACAGAGACGGUGCACUUCGACAAGAUCACGGUGCGGCUCAAGAAGCUCAGCUAUGGGCUCAGCCAGGAGCACUGCGACCCCGUGCUCGUCGCGCAGAAGCUCUGCGUAGAAGGUCUGCAUCAGGGUAUACAUGGGCGUCACCACCAGCCAGCUCGACGAGCUCGCCGUCGAGACCGCCGCCGCGCUCACCGCCUCCCAGCCUGACUAUGCCUCCCUCGCGGCGAGGAUUGCUGUGUCCAACCUGCCGCCAAGUGGAAAUAGUCUGUGUGGCUCUCGUAAAUAGAGAGCAUUCUGGUAGAAAGAUGAAAGAUUAGUGAGACUGGCUAAAUUCUGAACAUGUUCCAUGUGAGAGAAAUAGCAUGCUGAUUUCAUCUUGAAAUAAUCAUAUCUGAGGGACGAGGUUUGUAACUGAGGGUCAUGUGCAGAGCUAGAGGAAGAAGUUGCGAGGAUUGGAACUCUCCUUGUGAAGGGCUCAGGGACAGCAGUGAGGACAAUGCCUCUUUAGUUGUAAUUGUGGUACUCCUGAUGUGCAAUUAAACACUCCUGUGAUACUCCUUAUGCUAAAAUGUUGGUUGUUAGUAUAGAGGUGGUGACAUUAUUUGGUUCUCUGGUAUUGAUUUCAUGAUUUGUGGUUAAUACAUGAUGUAAUACAAUCCACAUUGCAUUAUAUUUCCAGUUACAUCUCCUA